AGUGAACGCUGGCGGUAGGCCUAACACAUGCAAGUCGAACGGCAGCACAGUAAUAGCUUGCUCUUACGGGUGGCGAGUGGCGGACGGUUGAGGAAUACAUCGGUAUCUACUUUUUCGUGGGGGAUAACGUAGGGACACUUACGCUAAUACCGCAUACGACCUACGGGUGAAAUCAUGGGAUCUUCGGACCUUGCGCGAUUCAAUGUGCCGAUGUCGGAUUAGCUAGUUGGCGGGGUAAAGGCCCACCAAGGCGACGAUCCGUAGCUGGUCUGAGAGGAUGAUCAGCCACACUGGAACUGAGACACGGUCCAGACUCCUACGGGAGGCAGCAGUGGGGAAUAUUGGACAAUGGGCGCAAGCCUGAUCCAGCCAUACCGCGUGGGUGAAGAAGGCCUUCGGGUUGUAAAGCACUUUUGUUGGGAAAGAAAAGCAGCAGGUUAAUACCCCGCUGUUCUGACGGUACCAAAAGAAUAAGCACCGGCUAACUUCGUG
rnacentral:rRNA from 1 species